GGGGUUAUGGCUCGGUGGUAGAGCACUUGCCUAGCAUGCAUGAGGUACUGGGUUCGAUCCUUAGCACCA
rnacentral:tRNA from 1 species